AAGAAGGCUUCGUUAAAGGGAAGGAUGUCAUCACCUGUCAUCCAGGUUUCUGUUAAGGCAACUGUUGACAAUAAAUUUGUGGAUGGCAAGUGCCUUGAGGAUAGUUGGCAGAUGUUCCAGAAGGAGAUGCAGAGGAAGGCAAUGCAAGCUGAUCCAUGGAUAUAAUCAACAGUGGAUGGGGUGAAUUAAAUAGCAGGCUAAUUAGUAGGUUUACCCCCCCCCCCCCACAGCAGGCACAAGUUGGUUGACAAAAGUACACUGGUUUCUCACGAACUUCAGGACACACCCCAACAUGGAGAAUGAAAAGGAUUCCAGGCCCUCACUGAGUGGCAGAGAGCAGCAGGAAAAGAAAUCUGCAUCUGCAGUUCUUUUGGUUUUUAUAAAGACAGACAUCGUGAUCUCAACCCACAUACUGCAUCUCCCUGAAAGAAAAUGUGCUAAAACUGGCAAAUGAGACAUAAUGACCCCCUCAUUGUGGGUACUUCAAAAUGGAGAUCCAGUACAGCCAAUAUGCCUAUUCCUAUGUUUUACUUGUUUUACCUCUGGUUUAUUAUUCCUGCAACCCUUGGUUUGUGUGGUGACUUUUAAUUAAUAAGUCAGAGAUCUUUUAUAAGUGCACUACCCACCUGGUAUCUCAAACCAAUGGAAGAAAUCGGAGAAAAAUAACUGAGGCAAUGUGCUGGUCAACAGAAGAUCAUCUCAACAGCAGUACCUGGGAACAAAGCUUAUUGAACUUUUUAUUUUGUUUCUUUUUUGUCCUUAACCUGUUUUACUCUUCUCUUUGUGUAUGUCAGGGGCAGUUUAUAAAAUGAUUAGAGUUUUAAAUUAACAGUAUUGUAUGUUUGCUGUUUACC